rnacentral:misc_RNA from 1 species
GAUGAAGAACGUAGCGAAAUGCGAUACUUGGUGUGAAUUGCAGAAUCCCGUGAACCAUCGAGUCUUUGAACGCAAGUUGCGCCCGAAGCCAUUAGGCCGAGGGCACGCCUGCCUGGGCGUCACACGUCGUUGCCCCCCCAUCUACUCCUUCGGGAUUGCGGGGGGCGGAUGAUGGCCUCCCGUGCGCCUCGUCGCGCGGUUGGCAUAAAUGCCAAGUCCUCGGCGACGCACGCCACGACAAUCGGUGGUUGCGAAACCUCGGUUGCCCGUCGUGUGCGGUCGUCGCGCAUCGAGAGCUCGAAAAAAUUGCCGGGCUCCGGCUCGGCUUUCAACGCGACCCCAGGUCAGGCGGGGUUACCCGCUGAAUUUAUGCAUAUCAAUAAGCGGAGGA